UGAAAUCAAACCUGAAGAUUAAAUGACUUACAGUUAAAGACGCCAAAAAAGAACUUGAUGUAACUACAAAGUUGCCGACACGCUUUAUAUUUGUAAUAAAAGCAAAAUGCUUUAAACAAAGUUAUGUGUCAGAAUAAAAGGAGUUGGUCUUGUCAUGUAUUCAGCCCAACCAACACUACGCAAUUUCUUAUAAAAACGAAGUGGGAUCCAAGCUGGCAUGUAAAUAAAUCAGAACUGGAGAUCAUAAAAUACAAAUUCUGCCUAAUGCUAGAACAACAUCAGUAGCAGGAGUUACAUAGCAAAAUUGGUGUAGGAAUUUUAACUAUGGUAACCAAAAGAAUGAAAUGAUUUUACACACCUGCGGUAGAGAAAAAUAGUGAGCACUGGCAGCUAACCCCACAAUGGAAGAGAGAACCUUGCAUCACCUUGAGUGGCCAACCUACAGAAUGGAACCAUAUAAGGUGUUAACAGAUGUGUGAGAUAUGAAAGAGAAAAGGUACAUACCCAACUAAUUACAUAAACGCACCUCUGCAGCUAAAUACAUAUUUAUACCUCCACUAGAAUCUUUGCACCAUAAGAAGUUUUUGUUCCUGGUAUGCGCCAUAUGGAUCCAAUCCAAGGUGCCAUGAACUUGUAUCAGAGAAUACCAUGUUGUCCCUUUUGACUCUAUCUUGUAUCAUAGAUAGAUAACCAUUGGCCAUAAUCCUAG
rnacentral:lncRNA from 1 species